UCCCUGGUGGUCCAAUGGCCAAGACUCUGCACUACCAAUGCAGGGGCCCCGGGUUCGAUCCCUGGCCAAGGAA